CGCUCAGCCACGAUGGUAUAUGAUAGCGAUCGAGCGACGCGCCUGGCGCCGAGCUCCCCGCUUCUCCUCCCUGAGCGGGUGCCUGUCGUUUUUUCGAUUAGGCUGUUUAACCCGCCGAGGUCCGGCGGGUUUUUUUAUGGCGUGCGCCGCCAGCGU
rnacentral:ncRNA from 15 species